rnacentral:rRNA from 1 species
AGACCCGAAACCCGGUGAUCUAGCCAUGGGCAGGUUGAAGGUUGGGUAACACUAACUGGAGGACCGAACCGACUAAUGUUGAAAAAUUAGCGGAUGACCUGUGGCUGGGGGUGAAAGGCCAAUCAAACCGGGAGAUAGCUGGUUCUCCCCGAAAGCUAUUUAGGUAGCGCCUCGUGAAUUCAUCUCCGGGGGUAGAGCACUGUUUCGGCUAGGGGGCCAUCCCGGCUUACCAACCCGAUGCAAACUGCGAAUACCGGAGAAUGUUAUCACGGGAGACACACGGCGGGUGCUAACGUCCGUCGUGAAGAGGGAAACAACCCAGACCGCCAGCUAAGGUCCCAAAGUCAUGGUUAAGUGGGAAACGAUGUGGGAAGGCCCAGACAGCCAGGAUGUUGGCUUAGAAGCAGCCAUCAUUUAAAGAAAGCGUAAUAGCUCACUGGUCGAGUCGGCCUGCGCGGAAGAUGUAACGGGGCUAAACCAUGCACCGAAGCUGCGGCAGCGACGCUUAUGCGUUGUUGGGUAGGGGAGCGUUCUGUAAGCCUGCGAAGGUGGCCUGUGAGGGUUGCUGGAGGUAUCAGAAGUGCGAAUGCUGACAUAAGUAACGAUAAAGCGGGUGAAAAGCCCGCUCGCCGGAAGACCAAGGGUUCCUGUCCAACGUUAAUCGGGGCAGGGUGAGUCGACCCCUAAGGCGAGGCCGAAAGGCGUAGUCGAUGGGAAACGGGUUAAUAUUCCCGUACUUGGUGUUACUGCGAAGGGGGGACGGAGAAGGCUAUGUUGGCCGGGCGACGGUUGUCCCGGUUUAAGCGUGUAGGUGUGUGUUCCAGGUAAAUCCGGUUCACUUUAACACUGAGGCGUGACGACGAGGCACUACGGUGCUGAAGCAACAAAUGCCCUGCUUCCAGGAAAAGCCUCUAAGCAUCAGGUAACAUCAAAUCGUACCCCAAACCGACACAGGUGGUCAGGUAGAGAAUACCAAGGCGCUUGAGAGAACUCGGGUGAAGGAACUAGGCAAAAUGGUGCCGUAACUUCGGGAGAAGGCACGCUGACACGUAGGUGAAGUGAUU